GGGUAAGAGCCUACCAAUGCAGCGAUCGGUAGCUGGUCUGAGAGGAUGAGCAAGCACACUGGGACUGAGACACGGGCCAGACUCCUACGGGAGGCAGCAGUGGGGAAUUAUCCGCAAUGGGCGCAAGCCUGACGGAGCAACGCCCGCGUGUGGGAAGAAGGCUCUUGGGCUGUCAACCAGUUAUCUCAGGGAAGAAGUCCUGACGGUACCUAGAUGAAUCAGCCACGGCUAAACUCCGGUGCCAGCAGCCGCGGUAACUACGGCGGAGGCAAGCGUUAUCCGGACAUUAUUGGGCGUAACACCGUCCGAAGGGGGCACUUCAAGUACUGCCUGCACAACCGUACGGACCUUACCUCCGGAUCGGCACUGGAAACUGGAGUGCUAGAGGGCGACAGGGGUAGAGGGAAUUCCCAGCGUAGCGGUGAAAUGCGUAGAGAUCGGGAAGAACACCGGUGGCGAAAGCGCUCUACUGGGUCGCACCUGACCCUCAGGGACGAAAGCUAAGGUAGCGAAAGGGAUUAGAGACCCCUGCAGUCUUAGCCGUAAACGAUGGAUACUAGGCAUGGUUUGUAUCGACCCAAGCCGCGCCGAAGCUAACGCGUUAAGUAUCCCGCCUGGGGAGUACGCACGCAAGUGUGAAACUCAAAGGAAUUGACGGGGGCCCGCACAAGCGGUGGAGGAUGUGGUACAAUUCGAUGCAACGCGAAGAACCUUACCAGGGCUUGACAUCCCGCGAAUCUUGCUGAAAGGUGAGAGUGCCUUCGGGAGCGCGGAGACAGGUGGUGCAUGGCUGUAGUCAGCUCGUGUCGUGAGAUGUUGGGUUAAGUCCCGCAACGAGCGCAACCGUCGUCCUUAGUUGCCAGCAUUAAGUUGGGCACUCUAGGGAGACUGCCGGUGACAAACCGGAGGAAGGUGAGGAUGACGUCAAGUCAGCAUGCCCCUUAUGCUCUGGGCGACACACGUCCUACAAUGGUCGGGACAAAGGGGAGCAAGCUCGCGAGAGUAAGCGAAUCCCAGCAAACUCGGCCUCAGUUCAGAUUGCAGGCUGCAACUCGCCUGCAUGAAGGAGGAAUCGCUAGUAAUCGCAGGUCAGCAUACUGCGGUGAUUCGUUCCCGGGCCUUGUACACACCGCCCGUCACACCAUGAAGCUGCCAAGCCCGAAGUCGUUACCCUAACCGUUUGGAGG
rnacentral:rRNA from 1 species